rnacentral:snRNA from 1 species
GUGCUCACUUCGGCAGCACAUAUACUAAAACUGGAACGCUACAGAGAAAAUUGGCAUGGCCCCUGCACAAGGGUGACCCAAGUCAGGAGAGCAUUGUUCUAGUUAGUA